rnacentral:lncRNA from 1 species
AAGAGAAUGACGUGCAUCUUUUAUUCUUUUGCCAUAAAAAUUAGUGCUCUAGGGAAUAUAAGACAUAAGCCCAACUUCUUGAAGUUUUGUGGCAAAUAUUAAUGACAAAGAAGUAGUUGUCAUUACUUGUAGUUCAAGACAAUUUUAUGUAUAACUAAUGAUACUGUUGUUUUAAUCUCUUCUGUUAUAUAUCAGAUGUUCUCUUUUAGAAAUAUGUAACACUAUAGGAAAGAAAUAAUAACCAUCCUUUCAACUAUUUAAAACCUUCUUCACCUUUGUCAUAUAAAAUCUUUGAGGCCAAGGAGGCUUCUUCAUUAAUGGGGCUACAGUCAAGGUGAAAUGUUGUG